UUGAGAGAGAGUUCAAAGGGCGUGAAACCGCUUAGAAUAAAACGGACGGACCCGUCUGAGGCCUGUCGGAAUCAGUCGAAUCGACGCGUGAAUACGAGCGCGGUGCAGUAAGGAACGAAAGUCCCGCCGCCUCGUCGAGUCGAGUAGCGCUCGUUCGACGCAUUUCUAACAGGUAAGCGCCGCGACCGGCGUUCGAGGCUAGCGAAACCUGCGGAUUGAGGGCGAGCGCGUUCGCGCGUCUCGUAACCAGUCGGGAGGUUCGAAUAUAAUUCUCUAUACCGAGGGGUCGAGAGAGAUAUAUAACUAUCGUCGACGGAAUUUAGCGUUCGCCCUAUACCCCCUAAGUGCGUUCGACCGGUCGUCGCCUGCUCGCAGGUUUCGGCUCGUGUCCCGUUCGUAUCGUAGGUUGUGGGCGACGUUUCGACGUUCGGGAGUCUGCGGCGUCCGAGUCGGUCACCCGUCCGACCCGUCUUGAAACACGGACCAAGGAGUCUAACGUAAGCGCAAGCUAAUGGGCGGAAAACCCAUAAGCGCAAUAAAAGUAAAAGUCGUCUCGGACGGCUUAGGUACGAUCCCGAGGGCGGAAUAUUUCCUCGGUCGCAGUACCGUCCCGUCCCGACCGCUCGUCGGCAGGGCGGAGAUAGAGUGAAUACGUUGGGACCCGAAAGAUGGUGAACUAUGCCUGAUCAGAGCGAAGCCAGAGGAAACUCUGGUGUAUGUCGUAGCGGUUCUGACGUGCUGAUCGAUCGUCGACUUGAGAUAGGGGGAAAGACUAUCGAACAUUAAUGG
rnacentral:rRNA from 1 species